rnacentral:rRNA from 1 species
CGCUAUCACUCCUACGGGGAGCAGCAGUAGGGAAUCUUCACAAUGGGCGCAAGCCUGAUGGAGCAGCACCGCGUGAGUGAAGAAGGGUUUCGGCUCGUAAAGCUCUGUUGUUAAAGAAGAACACGUAUGAGAGUAACUGUUCAUACGUUGACGGUAUUUAACCAGAAAGUCACGGCUAACUACGUGCCAGCAGCCGCGGUAAUACGUAGGUGGCAAGCGUUAUCCGGAUUUAUUGGGCGUAAAGAGAGUGCAGGCGGUUUUCUAAGUCUGAUGUGAAAGCCUUCGGCUUGACCGGAGAAGUGCAUCGGAAACUGGAUAACUUGAGUGCAGAAGAGGGUAGUGGAACUCCAUGUGUAGCGGUGGAAUGCGUAGAUAUAUGGAAGAACACCAGUGGCGAAGGCGGCUACCUGGUCUGCAACUGACGCUGAGACUCGAAAGCAUGGGUAGCGAACAGGAUUAGAUACCCUGGUAG